rnacentral:rRNA from 1 species
AGGGGGAUAACUACUGGAAACGGUAGCUAAUACCGCAUAACGUCGCAAGACCAAAGAGGGGGACCUUCGGGCCUCUUGCCAUCGGAUGUGCCCAGAUGGGAUUAGCUUGUUGGUGGGGUAACGGCUCACCUAGGCGACGAUCCCUAGCUGGUCUGAGAGGAUGACCAGCCACACUGGAACUGAGACACGGUCCAGACUCCUACGGGAGGCAGCAGUGGGGAAUAUUGCACAAUGGGCGCAAGCCUGAUGCAGCCAUGCCGCGUGUAUGAAGAAGGCCUUCGGGUUGUAAAGUACUUUCAGCGGGGAGGAAGGGAGUAAAGUUAAUACCUUUGCUCAUUGACGUUACCCGCAGAAGAAGCACCGGCUAACUCCGUGCCAGCAGCCGCGGUAAUACGGAGGGUGCAAGCGUUAAUCGGAAUUACUGGGCGUAAAGCGCACGCAGGCGGUUUGUUAAGUCAGAUGUGAAAUCCCCGGGCUCAACCUGGGAACUGCAUCUGAUACUGGCAAGCUUGAGUCUCGUAGAGGGGGGUAGAAUUCCAGGUGUAGCGGUGAAAUGCGUAGAGAUCUGGAGGAAUACCGGUGGCGAAGGCGGCCCCCUGGACGAAGACUGACGCUCAGGUGCGAAAGCGUGGGGAGCAAACAGGAU